rnacentral:rRNA from 1 species
CCUACGGGGGGCAGCAGUGGGGGAUAUUGGACAAUGGGGGGAACUCUGAUCCAGCGACGCCGCAUGAGUGAAGAAGUAUUUCGGUAUGUAAAGCUCUGUCAGCAGGGAAGAAAGAAAUGACGGUACCUGACCAAGAAGCCCCGGCUAACUACGUGCCAGCAGUCGCGGUAAUACGUAGGGGGCAAGCGUUAUCCGGAUUUAUUGGGUUUAAAGGGUGCGCAGGCGGAAGAUCAAGUCAGCGGUAAAAUUGAGAGGCUCAACCUCUUCGAGCCGUUGAAACUGGUUUUCUUGAGUGAGCGAGAAGUAUGCGGAAUGCGUGGUGUAGCGGUGAAAUGCAUAGAUAUCACGUAGAACUCCGAUUGCGAAGGCAGCAUACCGGCGCUCAACUGACGCUCAUGCUCGAAAGCGUGGGGAGCAAACAGGAUUAGAUACCCCAGUAGUC